rnacentral:rRNA from 1 species
AGCAGCCGCGGUAAUUCCAGCUCCAAUAGCGUAUAUUAAAGUUGUUGCAGUUAAAAAGCUCGUAGUUGAAUUUUGGGUUUGGCCGAUUGGUCCGUUCUUGUAACGAGUACUGGUCGGUUGGGCCUCACCGCUUGGUGAUGCGUAAUGCCCUUUAUUGGGUGUUGCGAGUAGCCAAGACCUUUACCUUGAAAAAAUUAGAGUGUUUAAAGCAGGCAUAUGCCGGAAUACAUUAGCAUGGAAUAAUAGAAUAGGACAACGAUUCUAUUUUGUUGGUUUCUAGGACCGUUGUAAUGAUUAAUAGGGAUAGUUGGGGGCAUUAGUAUUCAAUUGUCAGAGGUGAAAUUCUUGGAUUUAUUGAAGACUAACUACUGCGAAAGCAUUUGCCAAGGAUGUUUUCAUUAAUCAAGAACGAAAGUUAGGGGAUCGAAGACGAUCAGAUACCGUCGUAGUCUUAACCAUAAACUAUGCCGACUAGGGAUCGGGCGAAGUUGUUUCAAUGACUCG